rnacentral:tRNA from 1 species
GAAAGUAGCUCAGCUGGUAGAGCAUCACCUUGCCAAGGUGAGGGUCGCGGGUUCGAAUCCCGUCUUUC